rnacentral:rRNA from 1 species
AACGAACGCUGGCGGCAUGCCUAACACAUGCAAGUCGAACGAGACCUUCGGGUCUAGUGGCGCACGGGUGCGUAACGCGUGGGAACCUGCCCUUAGGUUCGGAAUAACUCCCCGAAAGGGGUGCUAAUACCGGAUAAUGUCUUCGGACCAAAGAUUUAUCGCCUUGGGAUGGGCCCGCGUUGGAUUAGCUAGUUGGUAGGGUAAAAGCCUACCAAGGCGACGAUCCAUAGCUGGUCUGAGAGGAUGGUCAGCCACACUGGGACUGAGACACGGCCCAGACUCCUACGGGAGGCAGCAGUGGGGAAUAUUGGACAAUGGGCGGAAGCCUGAUCCAGCUAUGCCGCGUGAGUGAUGAAGGCCUUAGGGUUGUAAAGCUCUUUUACCCGGGAUGAUAAUGACAGUACCGGGAGAAUAAGCUCCGGCUAACUCCGUG